rnacentral:misc_RNA from 1 species
GCCCUUAUCCUUCAAUGCAUGAUAUAUCUUACGAGCUUGAUUAGGUAGUACGACUUUGUCCUCCAAUCCCUGGAAUAGGAUUAUAGGGCAAGAAAAUUUGUCAACAAAAUUGAUUGGUGACCUCUCGAAGUAAUCUUCUUCAUUCCCAACAAGAUUGUCAAUAUAAUGAGAUUCAAACUUGUGCGUAUCUGCUCUCAACAAGCGUAAGUCAGCUAUCCCAUACAAGGAAGCUCCUGCCUUAAAUAUAUCUUUAAAAGCAAGAGCAGCUAAGGUGGUAUAUCCCCCAGCAGAGCCCCCUGUGAUGCACAAUCGUUCUCCAUCAACCUUUCCAGAGUCCACCAAAAAUCUUGCACAACUGCAGCAGUCAUUGACAUCAACAAUUCCCCACUGCCCCAAAAGCCUUUCUCGGUACUCUCUCCCAUAACCAGUGCUACCACCAUAAUUGACAUCAACGUAACCCCAGCCUCGACUAGUCCAAUAUUGAAUGCUAGGAUUUAAAUUUCCACGUGUUUCAG